rnacentral:rRNA from 1 species
GCUUAACCGAAGAAGUGCAUCGGAAACUGGGGAACUUGAGUGCAGAAGAGGACAGUGGAACUCCAUGGGUAGCGGUGGAAUGGGUAGAUAUAUGGAAGAACACCAGUGGCGAAGGCGGCUGUCUAGUCUGCAACUGACGCUGAGGCUCGAAAGCAUGGGUAGCGAACAGGAUUAGAUACCCUGGUAGUCCAUGCCGUAAACGAUGAGUGCUAGGUGUUGGAGGGUUCCGCCCUUCAGUGCCGCAGCUAACGCAUUAAGCACUCCGCCUGGGGAGUACGACCGCAAGGUUGAAACUCAAAGGAAUUGACGGGGGCCCGCACAAGCGGUGGAGCAUGUGGUUUAAUUCGAAGCUACGCGAAGAACCUUACCAGGUCUUGACAUCUUCUGCCAAUCUUAGAGAUAAGACGUUCCCUUCGGGGACAGAAUGACAGGUGGUGCAUGGUUGUCGUCAGCUCGUGUCGUGAGAUGUUGGGUUAAGUCCCGCAACGAGCGCAACCCUUAUUAUUAGUUGCCAGCAUUCAGUUGGGCACUCUGGUGAGACUGCCGGUGACAAACCGGAGGAAGGUGGGGAUGACGUCAAAUCAUCAUGCCCCUUAUGACCUGGGCUACACACGUGCUACAAUGGACGGUACAACG